rnacentral:rRNA from 1 species
AACGGCCCACCAAGGCGACGAUCAGUAGCCGGCCUGAGAGGGUGAACGGCCACAUUGGGACUGAGACACGGCCCAAACUCCUACGGGAGGCAGCAUG